CCUAAUUUAACAUGGCGAGAUGUACAGCAUUUAAUUGUAUGGACAUCAGAAUAUGCUCCAAUAUCUUCGAAUCCAGGCUGGCAAGUCAACGGAGCUGGAUUCCGCUUCGAUAUAAGAUUUGGAUUUGGUCUUUUGAAUGCUGGAGCGCUUGUGGCAACAUCCCUAAAUUGGACCUCGGUGCCCGAAAAAACCAUUUGCCAUGUUCGAUCUCCGUUUUCCAAAAGCGGUAAAUGGAAGCUGUUUUCGAAGGAGCAACUAGAAAUACCAUUACGAGUCGAUAGUAACUGUCUCGUGAACUACAUCGAGCACAUAGAAUUAAUCGUCAACAUCCGAUAUACCCGGC
rnacentral:lncRNA from 1 species